AAGUCGUAACAAGGUUUCCGUAGGUGAACCUGCGGAAGGAUCAUUAACACGUAUCCACGUAUCAACCCUUGUGCUCUUUGUUUUGGAAUGGAAUAUCAACUGAGGUGAGAGCGAAUGCUUUUGUUUUUCUUUCGGGAAAAUAAAAGUGUUGGUGAUUGUCUCUUUUGACUUCCAAUCUAACCUUUUUUUUAAUUAUUUUCUUUAAACCCUUUGUACCUUUCUUACUGAAACUUGAUUGUCUUUUGGUUUCGCGAGGCUCCGGCCUUGUGGAAUGAAAAACAAUUAUUUUACGAAAUGCUUGACAACUCUUAGCAACGGAUAUCUUGGUUCUC
rnacentral:misc_RNA from 1 species